rnacentral:rRNA from 1 species
UACAGAGGGGGCAAGCGUUAUUCGGAAUUAUUGGGCGUAAAGAGUUCGUAGGCUGUUUGUUAAGUCUGAUGUUAAAGACUGGGGCUCAACCUCGGAAAUGCAUUGGAUACUGGCAGACUGGAGUGCAGUAGAGGCUAGUGGAAUUCCCAGUGUAGCGGUGAAAUGCGUAGAUAUUGGGAAGAACACCGGUGGCGUAGGCGACUAGCUGGGCUGUAACUGACGCUGAGGAACGAAAGCCAGGGGAGCGAAUGGG